AAUAGAUACCCCGGUAGUCCACGCCGUAAACGGUGGGUACUAGGUGUGGGUUUCCUUCCUUGGGAUCCGUGCCGUAGCUAACGCAUUAAGUACCCCGCCUGGGGAGUACGGCCGCAAGGCUAAAACUCAAAGGAAUUGACGGGGGGCCCGCACAAGCGGCGGAGCAUGUGGAUUAAUUCGAUGCAACGCGAAGAACCUUACCUGGGUUUGACAUGCACAGGACGCCGGCAGAGAUGUCGGUUCCCUUGUGGCCUGUGUGCAGGUGGUGCAUGGCUGUCGUCAGCUCGUGUCGUGAGAUGUUGGGUUAAGUCCCGCAACGAGCGCAACCCUUGUCCUAUGUUGCCAGCGGGUUAUGCCGGGGACUCGUAGGAGACUGCCGGGGUCAACUCGGAGGAAGGUGGGGAUGACGUCAAGUCAUCAUGCCCCUUAUGUCCAGGGCUUCACACAUGCUACAAUGGCCGGUACAAAGGGCUGCGAUGCCGUGAGGUGGAGCGAAUCCUUGGUAAAGCCGGUCUCAGUUCGGAUCGGGGUCUGCAACUCGACCCCG
rnacentral:rRNA from 1 species